GACAGAGGCCUCAAGCGUUAGGCGGAAUCACUGGGCUUAAAGCGUGUGUAGGCGGAUCGUUAAGUGUCUUGUGAAAUCCCACGGCUCACCCGUGGAACUGCUGGGCAUACUGGCGAUCUUGGGCCAACUAGGGGCAGCCGGAACAAGCGGUGGAGCGGUGAAAUGCGUAGAUAUCGCUUGGAACGCCGAAGGUGAAAACAGGCUGCUGGGGUUGUGCCGACGCUGAGACACGAAAGCCAGGGGAGCGAACGGG
rnacentral:rRNA from 1 species